rnacentral:rRNA from 1 species
AUUGAACGCUGGCGGCAGGCCUAACACAUGCAAGUCGAGCGGAUGAAGGGAGCUUGCUCCUGGAUUCAGCGGCGGACGGGUGAGUAAUGCCUAGGAAUCUGCCUGGUAGUGGGGGAUAACGUCCGGAAACGGGCGCUAAUACCGCAUACGUCCUGAGGGAGAAAGUGGGGGAUCUUUGGACCUCACGCUAUCAGAUGAGCCUAGGUCGGAUUAGCUAGUUGGUGGGGUAAAGGCCUACCAAGGCGACGAUCCGUAACUGGUCUGAGAGGAUGAUCAGUCACACUGGAACUGAGACACGGUCCAGACUCCUACGGGAGGCAGCAGUGGGGAAUAUUGGACAAUGGGCGAAAGCCUGAUCCAGCCAUGCCGCGUGAGUGAAGAAGGUCUUCGGAUUGUAAAGCACUUUAAGUUGGGAGGAAGGGCAGUAAGUUAAUACCUUGCUGUUUUGACGUUACCAACAGAAUAAGCACCGGCUAACUUCGUG